GAAAGUGGUGUGGACUUUGGGGGCCCUUGCAGAGUGGGGUGUCAGAUAGAAAAGAACCUUCUAGGGUGCUGGAGAGAUGGUUUAGCAGUUAAGAGCACUGACUGCUCUGUCAGAGGUCCUGAGUUCAAUUCCCAGCAACCAUAUGGUAGCUUACAACCAUCUGUAAUGGAAUCUAAUGCCCUCUUCUAAGUGUGUGUCUGAAGACAGCUGUAGUGUACUCAUAUAAAUAAAAAAAAUAAAUAAAUUAAAAAAAAAAAAGAAAAGAACCUUCUAGAAGGACAAAGCUUAGGGAAGGGUGAUGGAAGAGAGGUGGAGCAGGUCAAACCAUCCCUGCAAGGACCAAGAGAAGCCAGCCGAAGGGAAGCAACCAAGGUCAGGCAAGUGGGCUGGCCUGGUGGCAGCAGGAGGAGCUAGGGUGUCAGCUGGGGGUGUGAUGUCAAGUGCAGCUUGCCCGGCAGUAGCAGGAUCAGCACUGCUUGGAAAAAGACAUUUUGGAGCAGUACAGGCUGGGAGACAGGUGCAGAACAGAAGCUGUUUGGAACUCAUGAAUGUCCUGGGGCCCAACAAUGCAGAGAGCUAAGCAGGGCUGGUUAGUACUGACCUGGUGAUAACCACACUGAUAGGUUUACCUGCAGUAUUGAUUGGGAAUGCUCGCCCACCCAGGACAUGCUCUCCACCUCUACUGCUAUCUAUGUGCAAGGCUCAGCUGGCCCAUCAUCUGCUCAGAAGAAAUUAAAAGUGGGCCUAUAUUUGAAACUCAAAUUGUUUCCUGUUGACUCAAACUAGACCAACUCAUUCAAAGCAAGCCCCCGAGGCUCCUCCAGCUGCCCCCAUCCUCACCUCUGUGCUUUCUCACAAAGGGACAGCACUUUCACUCAACUUACCUUCAAACAGGCCUCUGUUUAGUUUAAUAGAACCAUGGAACCUCUCAUGCUAAGUGCUGUACCACUGAGAGCACACCGGGCACUUUGACACGAGAGAGGCCUUUUUCUUCACGUAGCUGUAGCUACCUGAGAACGAACACAGUUAAAGUCAUUCACUUCACGACUGUGGGUCGGAGCUUACCUCAUUUCCAGCUGCCGAAUGACCCCUGGGUUUAUGGGGCUGUAUGGACCUUCCAGCCACCAGGACUGUCUCGAGGAAUGCUUUGGUGGCUUGGUGGGAAGCAGUCCCUCGCUGACUAAGAAGGGAGCUAAAUAAACCUGCACAGGUGCUUCGAGCUCCAUCUGGGUGGGUAACACCCUUCCCAUCUACCCCUUCUGUUCCCACUCCUGCCACCCCAUCUCCUCCCCGUGCUCACGUGCCACUGCCUCUAAGAGGCCGCCAGCCGCGCUGGGGUGGGGGUGAUGUGUGCUGUGUGACUGCUCCUCAGGUGACCUCUGCUGCAGUGCUGUCCACCAGCAUCUCAAGGAAGGGGUGACAAGGGGACCAGAAUGAGUCGCCACGAUGCAGACGCAGUGCUGUUUGCCUAUGGCCAGAACGAACAGGCCUCUAUUUCAAAAUGGGGCUAGGCAGGGUCUUCCGGAGGCCUUCCCUGCCUAGAGACCGCUAAGUGAGCCCAGGCAAUCCGGAGCUGGCUUCAAAAUCAGCAACAGGGCGGUGGGGGUGGGGGUGGGGGUGCCUCACAACAAACAGUGGUAACAGAAGGUUUGUGUGGGAAGAUGGUCUAAAACAAGCAGUGUCUGUGGUAAUGAGCUGUUGUGAGGAAGUAUGUGGGGCCUCCGAAGCAGGCUGCUGCUUUUCCAGGGCUGGGCUUUUCGGGGAGAAGGGGAUGCAGGAAGACAAGGAAAGGGCCCGACUGAGGCACAUGGGGACGUUACAGAGCACAGAAGCCCAUAGUGUGCGUGGGGUCCCAAUGAGAAACAGCCAGCAGGGCGGUGAAGCACCUGAGGGCUGGCAAAAAAGCAGGGAGACGGGUCCAAUAUGGAACUGGAAGGGACAAGAAGAGGGUGUGGUACCAAAGCUUACUGUCUGGAACUGUGGCCUAGGAAGGAGAGGCUGCCCACUGCCAACAUGCACCUAGAGACAGCUGGGGGGUAAAGCCCCUCCCUCGGCUUCUCCAUCACACCCCUCCCACCUGCAUCUUCGAUGGCUCCUGACCACAAGCCAAAGGCCAAGGGGCCAGUCAGCCUCUUCCCAGGGGGAGGAUGGAACCAGGCAACGCUUGUGGCAGGCCGGUUUGGAUGGGAUAACCGUCGGCAGCCAUUCUGAGAUCAGGCACUCAUGACACCUGUGAACGGCCUGUGUCGUCUUUACCUAUGGAAGGGUGAUGAUACAACUUUAAAAUCAGACUACGAAAGCCAGAACCAAAACAUGAGUGAAAACAACACAACUUUGUACAAAAUGGACAGGUAACAUUUAUUAAAACUUGUCAUACAAAAGGACAUGGUCUCUUCUAUAAGAAGAAAAUAUUAAACGGUAACAUUCAAUUAAAACCACGCUGUACACUGAAGACAGCAAUUCUAGAAAGAACUAUUUAACUUCUAAAACACAGGUGGUUCACAAAUAUCCAUGAUAUGCACCUAAUGACAAUCUGCUUAUCAUCCCAUGGUUCUGUGGUCUAAGAGUCACCUGACUUGCAUAAAUAAAAUAACUUUCUGGAAGAAACAUUGGGACCCUCAUAAAAGGAAAGGAGGCAGCAGCAACUGACAUGACACAGGCUUCAAGCAACAUUUAAAAUGAAAAAAAAAAUCACAUUUGCAAAAGGUGUUCCAGCAUCUUCCCACAGGGCACUAUCAGUAGAGGUUUGCAAACUAGUACCUUUAAAUAUGUAAAUAGCAGAGAGAGAACAAAAAGAAAAA